UACGAAGGGUGCAAGCGUUAAUCGGAAUUACUGGGCGUAAAGCGCGCGUAGGUGGUUCAGUAAGUUGGAAGUGAAAUCCCCCCGGGCGUCAACCUGGGAACGUAGCUUUCUAAAACUAGCUGAGCUAGAGUACGGUAGAGGGUGGUGGAAUUUACCUUGUGUAGCGGUGAAUAGCGUAGAUAUAGGAAGGAACACCAGUGGCGAAGGCGACCACCUGGACUGAUACUGACACUGAGGUGCGAAAGACGUGGGGAGGCAAACAGGAUUAGAUACCCCCGUACGU
rnacentral:rRNA from 1 species